rnacentral:lncRNA from 1 species
AUUUAAGUGACCAGUGUACUCUCCAAGAACUUAAACUCAGUAUUAUUAUUAUUUUUUGACUUAUAAAGUUUUGUGAGAUUGUGAAACAUACCUUUCAAUUUUUUGAAAGAUUUUAAUAAUGGUGACUUAGAAAUGUUUCAUAUUUCUGUACCUCUCUCUCUCUGUCUCCUUCUCUUUCCCCCUUUGGAUUUUUCUGAAUUCUAUUUUGUUUUGAUAGUGCCAUUUGCUCUAGAGACUGUACUUGGAGAUCUGAUAUCUUUACUUUGGACUUAUAGAGUAAAUAUCUCUCAUUUAUAUCAUUCUAGAGGGAAUUCCAGAAGGUAUCGAGGUCUAUAUUGCUUGGGUGCUUGGGGUAACACCAAGCAAUAUAGACCUUAAAGAAAUACAGGCUUAUAAAUAGAUCCUGUAGAGUAUCGGAGAGGCUGUGCAGGAAAAUAAGAUAAUUUGAGAGAGCAGCAGAGAGAGAGCUAACUUGAAAUGAUUUAUCGACUUGUGUUUUCCUGAGAAAGUACCAUGGAACUGGAGUGUUGAGAAAUAUGGGUGUUAGUCAGUCAAAGAGUACAGAGAGUAUAUUCCAUGUAGAUGGCAUGGCAGGCAGGACUCUGAUCGUGGAGAAACCUAUGCUCAUGCUAGACCUGAGAUCCUGCAGGUUCAUAUAAAAGUAUGUGAGCAGGCCAUCUCUAGGAUUGAUUAGCAAGCCUUCCAUCCCAGUCAUUUUCUUUCCAUCUCCUGAUUCUAUGUGUCCUCUUGCCCUAUCCUCAGACACUUCAUUUAAUUGCUAGGUUGGAUACUGGAAAUCACUAGGCUACAUCAUUAUUAUAGGUUCUGCUCAGAUAAAAAGAGACUUUCUCAUUUAAAAAAUCAGCAGGAUUUAUAUAUCAUUCUAUAUAUUUUUGCAAUAAUAACACUGUACAGUCUGUGUUGGUAUGGGCAGAAGGUAAUUCACCCUACACUAUGCACUUAAAGAUAGGCAAUAUCAGAGAAACUGUGAGAGAUGAUAUCAGAGGGAUAUGACAUAUUUAAAGCAGAAUCUUUCAGGUAAUAUUUAGCAUUUAGAACUUAAAUAAACCAAAGUGAGAAUCUAUGGUGAAUUUUAAUCAGAGAGUAACAAAAUUCUUGUUAAUUACUGUUAAGAUGCCUGAGUUUUGAAGUAAACAACCUUUUCUGUCCUGAAGUAUGUGUCAGCAGUGUGUCCCCAAGUAUAAUCUGAGCAGUGCCACUAUCACCCUACAGUUGUACUUCCCAAGACAGGGAACCUGCCACCAAGGUAUCACCCACAUACAAUGAGUCACUAAGCCCCAAAGACUUUCUUUCCUGAUUCUCUUGGUUUUACCUUGCUUCUGCUUUGUACAGAUUGUUACAUCCUGCAGAUUCUUAUCCAAGACUUUGGCUCUUGUCAUUGUCUUCUGCUUGCUUCUGUUUUAUUUUCUCCUGGCUUCUAAGUUAUCAGACAUGGUGUUGUCAGAUUGUUCUUUCAAAGAUAUGGCUAUCUUCAUGUCACUCCUGUACCUAAGAGCCUAUGAUGGUCCCUAUCAUUUAAUGAAUCACAGUCACACCGCUCAGCACCCAGAGCCUUCUGUCACUUGGAUCUGUUGUAUCUGUCCAGCCUUUCCUCCAUUUCCAUUCAUCAACACGAGACUGCAUAAGACGUGGCUCGCCAUACCUACCUCUGUAGGAGUGAGAGCAAGGUAUGCUGUGGCUAGCACAUCAUUGUACUAGUGACUACUACUUGCUGUGAAAAGCCAUUAUUGGCAUAGACUUCAUAACAGUUUUUAAAAUAGUAGAAAUAAGGCUUAUUUUGAACAAAACAAAGAACAGUUUUUGCUUGAUUUAAGAAGUAGACCAGUUUUAUUUAUUCAAGUGGACAUUUGGGAAGGAUAUGAUGCAAAGCUACAGUGGUUGGAAGAAUGAUGGCCUCCCAAAGCCUUCUACGCCCUAAUCCCACAAGAGGGACAUUUCAUCUGCAAUUGAGAAAAAAAUACAAUGGAGCUGAUGAGAUCAGCCUUCCCCAUCCCACGUGGGCUUGCUCUAAUCACGGAGGCCUUUAAUGUUGAAGCGUCUCUCCCAGACAGGAGUGGUCAGUGGGAGAUGUGCUAUGGGAAAAGAUCAGAGAGAUGCAAUAUUGUACUGUGAAGAUAGAGGAAGGGAUCAUGAGCGAAGGAAUGCUGGGAGGCUCACGAGUUCUUCCGGAAAUCACAGAAAGAAAGGCAGCUCCAUCCAUGCUACAACUCAGUCCUGUGACUCCUGUGUCCGACACCUGGCCAAUAAGACACGAAGAUGAUGGAUUUGUGUUGUUUUAAACCUUCGGGAUUGUAGUACUGUCUCUGGAAGCCUUAGACACUGGACUUGGGAAUCUCAUUGACCUCAAACCUUGCCCCCUCCUGCUGAACUAUUAUUUCCUAUGGAGUAAUCCAGGGGAAGAAGAUUCAUGGACUUCAAUUGUGGAACCACUGUGGAUGCCAUCUGGCUACAAUGCAUAGUGCCAACAAUAGCCCUGGUUAAACUAAGCGGUCACAGACCAAAACCUGAACUUGUGAAUAUGGUGAACUAACAGACAGGCUUUAGACACUGAAUGAUGGACCAAAGGGUGAUGGACCCCAAAGGUGCUAGAGAACAAACAGGAAAACAUUAAUAAAACUGCAAUCGUUUUUUGGUGGAGGGGGGCAGCUGGACAAGCAAGGACCUAGCUCCUUCCUGAUGGUUUCUGUCAUUGCCAACAUGAGUUCAGAAACCUGACUGUUCCAAUAGCUGGCAAUGCAGCUGUGGAUUUUUUUUUUAUGCCGAGAAUAAACC